AAUAUUUUACAAUGGGGGCAACCCUGAUCCAGCCAUGCCGCGUGUGCGAAGAAGGUCUUCGGAUUGUAAAGCACUUUAAGUGUGGAGGAAGGGCUUUAGGUUAAUACCCUGAAGUUUUGACGUUACCAACAGAAUAAGCACCGGCCAACUCUGCGGCAGCAGCCGCGGUAAUACAGAGGGUGCAAGCGUUAAUCGGAAUUACGGGGCGUAAAGCGCGCGUAGGUGGUUCAGUAAGAUGGGUGUGAAAUCCCCGGGCUUAACCUGGGAACUGCUUUCAUAACUGCUGAGCUAGAGUACGGUAGAGGGUAGUGGAAUUUCCUGUGUAGCGGUGAAAUGCGUAGAUAUAGGAAGGAACACCAGUGGCGAAGGCGACUACCUGGACUGAUACUGACACUGAGGUGCGAAAGCGUGGGGAGCAAACA
rnacentral:rRNA from 1 species